AGAGUUUGAUCCUGGCUCAGAAUGAACGUUGGCGGCGUGGAUUAGGCAUGCAAGUCGCGCGAGAAGCUAAUUAGCUUGCUAAGAGGCGGACAGCGGCGGAAGGGAGAGUAACGCGUGGUUACGUACCCUCGAGACCGGGAUAGUAGCGGGAAACUGCUAGUAAUACCGGAUAACAUCUUCGGAUCAAAUGGUGUGAUUCCGCUCGAGGAUUGGACCGCGUACUAUUAGCUUGUUGGCGGGGUAAUGGCCCACCAAGGCUGCGAUGGUUACCGGGUGUGAGAGCAUGGCCCGGCUCACUGGGACUGAGACACUGCCCAGACAUCUACGGAUGGCUGCAGUCGAGAAUCUUCGGCAAUGGACGAAAGUCUGACCGAGCGACGCCGCGUGCGGGAUGAAGGCCCUCGGGUUGUAAACCGCUGUCAGUUAGGAGGAAAUCCCAUAGGGUUCUCUCUAUGGGUUGACCGAUUUUCAGAGGAAGGACGGGCUAAGUUCGUGCCAGCAGCCGCGGUGAGACGAACCGUCCAAACGUUAUUCGGUAUCACUGGGCUUAAAGCGUGCGUAGGCGGCUUGAUAGGUGAGAUGUGAAAGCCCACGGCCCAACCGUGGAAUUGCGUUUCAAACCAUCAAGCUCGAGGAAGAUAGGGGUGAUGGGAACUUAU
rnacentral:rRNA from 1 species